rnacentral:lncRNA from 1 species
AUGACAUCCUUUCACAUAUUUAUACAUGGCAGCUCUUACUGUAUAUACUCAGGUGAGGGUCCUGGUUGGCUUAUAUUUGGGUCAUCUUAUACUCGAGAAUAUAUGGUACAUUUAUUAUUUUUCUCUAUUAUUGUUGCUACUACUAUUACAUUUAUUUUACUCUAUUUUUAUUAUUAUUAAUAAUACAUUUAUUAUUUCACUCUGAUAUUAUUAAUAUUGCAUUUAUUAUUUUAUUCUAUGUAUUAUUACAUGUAUUAUUUUCCUAUAUUUCUUCUUAUUAUUAUUACAUAUAUUAUUUUACUCUAUUAUUAUUAAAAGGAUACAUAAGCACAUUUACAUUGAAGAAGAUGAAAAUACAAUAAUGAUUUAAUCAGAGUUGAACAGUCAUAUCUUAAAUUACAAUUUGAUGUAAAGAUUCAAAAACAUUUAAACUACUGAUGCCUCAAUUCAUGUAAUUUUAUUGGUGCAGUAGAGUCUCACUUAUCCAACAUUCGCUUAUCUAAUGUUCUGGAUUAUCCAACACAUUUUUGUAAUCAAUGUUUUCAAUACAUCGUGAUAUUUUGGUGCUAAAUUCGUAAAUACAGUAAUUACUACAUAGCAUUACUGUGUAUUGAACUACUUUUUCUGUCCAAAUUGUUGUAUAACAUGAUGUUUUGGUGCUUAAUUUGUAAAAUCAUAACCUAAUUUGAUGUUUAAUAGGCUUCUCCUUAAUCUCUCCUUAUUAUCCAACAUAUUCGCUUAUCCAACGUUCUGCCGCCCCGUUUAUGUUGGAUAAGUGAGAUUUUACUGUAUCUAUUUUUAUUUCUGAAAUUUCCCACCCUCGGCUUAUACUGGAAUCAAUGUUUUCCCAGGUUUUUUAAUGGUAAAAUUAGGUGCCUCGGCUUAUAUUUGAGUCAGCUUAUACUCGAGUAUAUACGGUAUGUCUCUUCUCAACCUUCUCUUCUGCAGGCUAAACAUACCCAGUUCUUUCAGACACUCCUCAUAGGACAUAGAUCUUGGAUCCUUUUAGUUGGCGUCCUCUGGCAACUAUAUCUCUUUUGAACUGUGGUGCGCAGAAUUGGACACAGUAUUCCAGGUGAGGUUCAACCAAAGCAGAAUAGAGGAUCACCAUGACUUCCCUCAAUCUAAUCACUAGACUCCUUUUGAUGCAGCCUAAAAUCCCAUUGGCUUUUUAGCUGCUGCAUAACACUGUUGGCUCAUGUUCGACUUGUUGUCCACUAAGACUCCAAGAUCUUUUUCACAUGGACUGUUGUCCAGUCAGACGUCACUCAUUCUAUAUCUUUGAAUCUCAUUUGUUCUGCCUAAGUGUAGUAUUUUACAUUUGUCCUUAUUGAAAUUCAUUUUGUUUGUUUUGGCCCAGCUCUCUAAUCUGUUAAGGUCAUUUUGAAUUUUGAUCCUGUCCUCUGGAGUAUUAGCCAUCCCUCCCAAUUUGGUGUCAUCUGCAAACUUGAUAAGCAUACCCUCUAAACCAGGGGUCCCCAAACUAAGGCCCGGGGGCCGGAUGCGGCCCAUCGAAGCCAUUUAUCUGGCCCCCAUG